UCCAUUCUGAGUGCCUUUGGUGGAGCAGAUCUGGGCACGGCAUGUGACCCGGGCCUGGCCAAUCAGAGUCUUGAAUUCUCCUGGACAACAGUGAUUGGUUCAGAAAUGAGCAGGAGCCUCCCCUCAGAAUCACUGAGAUUCCACGAGAUUUCCACUGAGGCUUCCGGGAGUGAGACACUUUUUCCCAGUGUGCUUGAAUGUAUGAAGAUAUAAGACCAGACGCAAAUGCAGCCAUCCUGCUACCAUGAGGGAGACCCAGCCCAUGAAUGGAGCCAAGCCCGAGGAAGCUGAGCCAAAGGGUGGAGAAAGAAAACCUGGGUCCUGUGACGUCAUUUGGGCCUCUGUAUCACACCACACCUGAAAGCAACGUAACUUCUGGACUUUGCUUACAUGCACCAGAUACAAUGACCAAGAACCAGGAGCAAAGUGAACGGGAGAAACAGAAUUGUCAGGACGUUUGAAGAGGGGAGCAAUCAGACAGGAAGACAAGGGACUUUUCACCUCCUCUCAAUCAGCUCGGUUGUACAAUUCUGAUCUCGAGCUGAAAAAUAAAUGCCUGCUAUAUUGAUGGCUCACGUUUUUGUGAAUAUGGGAGAAUUCUCUGACAUCUUUGGGGUGAAGCAGAGAUGGAGAGCGAUGUGGAUCCAGGCUGCCCCGGGGAGAGAAGCCCAAGGCAUCCUGGCCUACGUGUGCAUCUACAUCAUCCUCCGGGAAGCAUAGGACGUCCUGAUCUGAUGCGACCUGACUCGGAUCCAAAGUUAUAGGACCACCCGAUAACCGGACCCCACCUGCACUGAUACCAUUUUAACGACUUUUUUACAUGAUCUUUCCUUUGUUUGUAAAG